UACGGAGGGGGCUAGCGUUGUUCGAAAUUACUGGGCGUAAAGCGCACGUAGGCGGCUUUGUAAGUUAGAGGUGAAAGCCCAGGGCUUAACCCUGGAAUUGCCUUUAAGACUGCAUCGCUAGAAUCGUGGAGAGGUGAGUGGAAUUCCGAGUGUAGAGGUGAAAUUCGUAGAUAUUCGGAAGAACACCAGUGGCGAAGGCGACUCACUGGACACGUAUUGACGCUGAGGUGCGAAAGCGUGGGGAGCAAACAGG
rnacentral:rRNA from 1 species